GAUGAACGCUGGCGGCGUGCCUAAUACAUGCAAGUCGAGCGAAUGGAUUGAGAGCUUGCUCUUAUGAAGUUAGCGGCGGACGGGUGAGUAACACGUGGGUAACCUGCCCAUAAGACUGGGAUAACUCCGGGAAACCGGGGCUAAUACCGGAUAACAUUUUGAACCGCAUGGUUCGAAAUUGAAAGGCGGCUUCGGCUGUCACUUAUGGAUGGACCCGCGUCGCAUUAGCUAGUUGGUGAGGUAACGGCUCACCAAGGCAACGAUGCGUGGCCGACCUGAGAGUGUGAUCGGCCAAACUGGGACUGAGACACUGCCCAGACUCCUACGGGGGGCAGCAGUAGGGAAUCUUCCGCAAUGGACGAAAGUCUGACGGAGCAACGCCGCGUGAGUGAUGAAGGCUUUCGGGUCGUAAAACUCUGUUGUUAGGGAAGAACAAGUGCUAGUUGAAUAAGCUGGCACCUUGACGGUACCUAACCAGAAAGCCACGGCUAACUACGUGCCAGCCGCCGCCGUAA
rnacentral:rRNA from 1 species